UAUAUCUAGCUCGUGUUUAAGAUUGUAACCACAAUACACAGUAGCACUGCAGUUUAGCCAUAAAAAGAUCGCGGAUUAGACUUUGAUUAUUAUCUAUUUCGGUAUUAAAAGAACUAUUCUAGGGACCCAUUCGUCAUGGAAUCCACAUUACAUGGGCUCCAAAGUCAGUUCCCUCUUUGUCCAAGACUUACCUUUUUGUCCAAGACUUCCUAUUAAGGAUGCUCUUCACUCUUCUGAGACUAGAUGAAGCUUCAGUCUAUGCAUCUUACAUAUAGAACUUUAAGGCUACUGAUAGCCUCCCCCCCAAAAAAAAAAAAAAAAAUUAUUUAUGAAAAGAAAAGAAGACUUGAAGACAAGUGGUGAUGCAUUUCAAUUAACCAACAGUUUUAUUGAAACACCGAAUUUUCUGUAUUUAUUUAUGUAUAUAUCCUGAAUCCAUGGCUGACUAAUUAUCACAUUAAUAUAAGUACUGAUGUUGUUGGGGUUUUUACACUAUUCUCAUUUCUUUAUUUUAUUUCUUUUGGGGAGGGUAAAGGUUUUUUAUAAAUUUGUCAAUGUUAAUUAUUGUGUAAGAGAAGCACUACAAUAUUAUUCAGACUUUUUUAUUCGAUCAGUUAUAUCCAUUAUUUGCUAUGUAUACAGAUAUGCCAGAUAUUACUCUGUUUUGAUUGAUUACUGCUUGUGUACUGGUAUAUAAUAUUUCUGGUUUGCUUUUUUUUUUUUUUUCCUUUUUCUCUUUUUUCCUUCGAAAUAUUUCUAACUAGUUUUGUUACAUAGGGGAUAUUUGUUUCUUGAUAAAUAUUGUUUUAUUGCAUUGUUAAUUUCAUUUGAUUAAUUUGGUUUCAUUUGAUUCAUUUCAUUUGGUUAAUUUUAUUUGAGAAUUAUCCUUCUGUGGAUAUGAAUCAAUAAAUUGUUUAAUUUGAAAUUGAAUUUGAAUUUACUGAUUUUUUUUUCUGGAUCCGACAGUUUCUCUGAAACUAGUGUAUGCACAAAUAGUGGCAUAGCCAGAAUAUUUUUUUGGAAGGCCAGUCUAUGCAAAGAACCCCUUUCUUCUCAUUUCCCCCCUUUAUCUUCCAUUUUUUCUCUUUUAUUUUUUUCUCUCUUUUCUUAAAAGGAUUUUUUUUUUUUUUUGGGGGGGGGGUGUGAUUUUGAGCAAUACAUGUAUAAAUUACAGUGAAAAAUCAUCAAAACGUUCUUGGGACCAUCAAAUUAUGGCAGGAAUAUAGUUAUAACAAGAUUCUUCUGAAGGGUGGGAAGUUCCUGCAAAAUUAACUGUUAACCCACAGAGGUACAACGUGUCUCCUUUUAGAGACACUUUUGCAGUUUCUCUUCAUUCUGACCAGUAGCAAGUACACAUGUAUGAUCAGAAAGAGAAAAAUGUAUUGAAAAAUUUGAUACCACUCUGAAUACCGAACGUCAUGCCAUUCAUAAGUAAAGUUCAUAAGUAAAAGCCAUUUUACUUGUGCUAAUCAUGCUCUCUAAAACAACAAAAUCGCUUUUUAACAAUGCAAAUUGGCAACUUUUCAGCAAAGAUCUUCUAUUUAUUAUUUUAACGCAUGUUAUAUAUAUUUUUUUUCAAAGUAUGAAAAUUGAUAGAAAAUUAAUGAUUGUUGCCAAUUUGAGGAGCAAAAGGAGAUAAAAUUAAACCUUUAGAAAGCUGUGUACCUCUAUGGGUUAAUCAAGAAUAUUGUUAUACCUGCAAGGUGUUUCAAUAAGAUUUUAGCUAUGACUGAGAGUUCCACUAUUGACCCUAACAUGCACAUGUUGCACAUUUUAUUUAGCAUGCAAUCCAAUUAAUGUAUAUGCAAUAGCGCACAUUAUCUGACCAAUGCAAAGAUACUUUCCAUUAAUUUGCAUACCAUGGGUUUCAAGCUUGAUUUUAUAAGCAAACUGUCAAGCCUAAAUGUUAGUGAAACACCUCUUUGAUCUUAUACUGAAUUUCCAUUUCCACUAUACAAUACUAUCAAUGUCUCACUUCCUUCUAUCCAUAAAUUUUGAUCCUACCACUUGAUGUCAUAACAGAAUGUAAGAAACUUCUUAUAGGUAAAUUUGUGUAUACCUUGGCUUGAACUUUGAAGUGAAUGGGAGCAUCGUAGUCUAGUGGUUGUGACUCUUGCCUUGCAAUCAGUGGGUUGUGGGUUCGAAUCCCAAUCCUGGAACCAAUUUCCUUCAGCAAGAAGACUAGCUUAGCCUGGGUAAUAUAUACAAGCGUCUUGAGCACCUAUCAAGGUGGAUAUGUGCGCAUUAUAAAUACUAUAUAUCAUUAUUAUUGUUGUUGUUAUUAUACUGUAGAAGUUACAUGGAGAUAAAGCAAAUGUCUCCCAGAUGAACAUCUGUCAGAAAUUCGGACACCGUCAUAAAAAAGACCUCUCUGUUGCCAUCAUAUAUUACUUCGUAUUCCUCCUUCCAUGCCGUAACUCUGCCAUUAUACCACACCUCUUUCCCCUCCUCCUCCCACUUGUGGGCAAACAUCCUGUUAAGGACUUGGGUGGGAUCUCUCAAAUUCUUUAGAAAGUCAUCAUCCUCAAGCUGUGGACCACUGAAAAGAAUAUUCUUCAAUUCCUCCACGGAACUUUUCGAUAGCGAGUGCUUCCCCAUGUCCUGGCACAAAAUUUUUUUCCUGAAAUUAAUUUGAUUCUUUAGGAUGCCCAUGGCUCUGGUUUUAGAUAUGUUUUCAAGUAAUUCACAUUGAUUUUGCUCUUCAUAUAGUCCAUGUUGCAGUACACUUUCGAUGAGUUCCUCUAUCUUGUUCCGUUCCUUCUCUGCUUUUUCCGACAGCUUGCGUUGUUUAUCCCUUACCCGCUGUUGAACUUGCUCCUUGUACCUCUGCUUUUUCACCUUUUCCUUUUUCCUCUCAGUUACCCCUGCUUUAAUUGCCGAGCCAACCAAUCUCUUCCUCCUUUCUUCACUUUGGCUCUUCAACCACGUGGCUGUGUCGUUACACUUGAACAUGACUUUUGAUUCUAAUUUACCUACAGAAAUAUUUCUAGCAUGAUGCAGGUGUGAAUCAACACGCGCAAAGUUCCGCUCCCCACUAAUGUUUGUGCUUGAGCAUGAUGCAGCCUGCUCCCUGACUUCCACCGAUGGCUCCCAGAAGACGCCACCAGGUAACUGUGACUGGAGCUGCCGUUUUGUCACCUCUAGGGCUGCCAUCAGCAUUCCUCUCAUUGGUUCUUCCAUUUGAUCUUCAUAUGGAGGAGACACCAAUGAUUGGAAGAUAUCAUCCCUCAUUGGGUCACUGCUGAAGAUGGUGUGCUGGUCUCUGAGCAGGGAGGAUGGAUUGCCUGCCCACCUCUCCAAUACCUGGACUGCAGAGUGGUAGUUGGCAUUCAUUUCCAGGAUGUUUAGAUCCUGUGAUGCAGCUUCCAUCCAUGGGUGGGUGACCAAAUGCCCCAUCAGUCCAAGGCACCUAAGAUGGCAGAUGUUCUUAUCAUUCCAUGCAUUCACAAAUGAACGAUGGAGAUCAUUUGAUGGUUUGGUCACAGUUCUGAAAUAUUCUACUAUAGAUGGCCCGAUGUGAUAGAGCAGCCCAGCUGAAGAAAACAAAAUGUCAAAUCUGUUUCCAACCCAUCUUGGUAAUACCUUUUGAUGAC